ACAAAUAGGGCGACAGGAAGGUGUUGAACAUUGGGUUGAGUUGUUACGAAAGUACUUUAUUAUGAAUAAGUUCGUGUGAUUCGGAAGUCUGACCUAAUACUCAGAGAACAGUUUUUUCCAUCCUUCAUUUUUGGUUUAAUAUUUGUUCUUUAGAUUAGAAUGAAUUGGUCCUUUGACAGAGUGUGUCACUGGUACUAUGGUUACGCGCACUUCGCAGCUUUGGAUGAGCAAACAAACCUUCAUGUUUCAGAUUCAAUUAAUUAUUCAAACCAUAUUAAAGAAGUCAAAAGGUUCUGAGAAAUUCAAUUUAGCGGAAAACUACCAAAAUAUUUCACAGCUCUGAUUAUAUUUAACAUCUGAGUUUGAUAAAUAUCUGAUGGGGACCAAAAGUGCACUUAGUCCCACUUCCCAUCCCAAGCAGCCAUACUUUGUCACCUUUCCUUUUGCCUCCAAAUAUGCCAAUUCAUACCACAUGGAAGAAGAAGAUUGGUUCCCAAAUCUAUGCAAUGUCAUCAAAGCAGGUUCCAUAUCACUCUCUCCAAGCUUCAACCCUUUUCCCAUCUCAUUUAUCACUGGCUUUCCUGAUGCUGGCAAGCAAAAAUGCUCUAUCGCUGACUUAAAAUUAGGCACAUAAAUCUCUGUUGAUUUUUUGUCUACCAACUUCUUUCUCAAAAUACAUGUAUUACGAAUUUGAUUUGGUUUCUUGAAACUGCAUUCUUCUCAGUACAUUGUCUGACACUUUCACCAUUUUUUAAAGGCAAACAAGGAGAUUGUUAAGAUCCAGAGAGUGGUUGCUCCGAUGAGUCAAGUGCAGCUAAAGAACCUAAUCAAAGCCCAUAAGGUCAGCUGAGCAUGGACUCAUAUAGAAGGCAAAAAAGUCCUUGACAUUUAGCAGACCUUUGUGCUUCACAGGUUGUAAUUUGAAAGCAAAACUGUCUUGAGUUCUUAGAUGACGAAGGUAGCGUAUUUUGUGCAGAUUUCUUGGCUUUCACAUUUGUGGAUGAGACCUGCUAAAAAACAAUAGAUGCGAGCUUCUUCGUCUCUGGUGAUUGUUGAAUUCACCAUGUGAAUAUUGAAUGCUCUAUCUUAUAUGCUCUUAUACUAUCAUGCUCUAGUGUUAUUUUGAAAGUACUGCAACGAGACUUCACAAUAUUUUUCUUCCAAUGUGAAAAAGAAGGAAGAAUAGAUCUA